rnacentral:rRNA from 1 species
AUUGAACGCUGGCGGCAUGCCUAACACAUGCAAGUCGAACGGCAGCACAGCAGUAGCAAUACUGUGGGUGGCGAGUGGCGGACGGGUGAGGAAUACGUCGGAAUCUGCCCAGUCGUGGGGGAUAACUAGCCGAAAGGUUAGCUAAUACCGCAUACGACCGAGAGGUGAAAGCGGGGACCGCAAGGCCUCGCGCGAUUGGAUGAGCCGACGUCGGAUUAGCUAGUUGGCGGGUAAAGGCCCACCAAGGCGACGAUCCGUAGCUGGUCUGAGAGGAUGAUCAGCCACACUGGAACUGAGACACGGUCCAGACUCCUACGGGAGGCAGCAGUGGGGAAUAUUGGACAAUGGGCGCAAGCCUGAUCCAGCAAUGCCGCGUGUGUGAAGAAGGCC